rnacentral:rRNA from 1 species
UACGGAGGGUGCAAGCGUUGUCCGGAUUUAUUGGGUUUAAAGGGUGCGUAGGUGGCUUGUUAAGUCCGGGGUGAAAGCCCACAGCUCAACUGUGGAACUGCCCUGGAUACUGGCGAGCUUGAGUCCAGACGAGGUUGGCGGAAUGCAUGCUGUAGCGGUGAAAUGCAUAGAUAGCAUCCAGAACCCCGAUUGCGUAGGCAGCUGACUAGGCUGGUACUGACACUGAGGCACGAAAGCGUGGGGAGCGAACAGG